UUUAACCAUCUUUUAAAUCUGAGAUUAAAAGUAGUUAAGGAAUAGAAUAUCCAUAAGGACAGAAGACCCUGGGUCAUAGCAUGAAGCAAGCAAACAGCUUUCAGUUACUUAUCACUCACACGCUCUGCCAUAGGAGGUUGCUCACAUUUUCUCUAAGGUCACUAGGCAACCAAAAACAGCUGAGCUGGCUGUGGGGCCAACCUGGUCCCACCUCCAGUCUCCCAGGCACCCUCCCCUGGGCUAUACGUCUGCUCCUGCACUGCUUUCACGGGUUGUCACAUCUGUGCUCCCCUGGGUGACAUUGUGUCCUGUAACACCAGCCGAACCUACAUUGCGAAGCCAAUGUCCCUUCUCUAGACCUCCUGUCUAUGUAUGGAUAAGAUGUAACCAGCUAACAGAGAAUUCCAAGAUUUGGAUCUCAACUAGAUGCUGGUAAUUGGCUUCUGAAACCUUACUGCACACUAUCUUGGAGUCAACAAGUGCAAGUGAGAUGAAAGCAGACACUGAAAGCCUUUCAUUCAACUGGAGAGACCUCGAGGGUCGAGCUCAUGUCCAGAGCAGCCUUCCUAGCUCCAGCUGGAGCAGAUUUUUCUACAUUACAAUCCUCUCCCAAACUGAAGCUGUGUGCUUCUCCUUCAGAAGAGGCCGAAGCUGGCGGAGUGGUGCUGUCUUUCGGGGAGCCUUUUACAUCAGCUGGGUCUCUUGCUUCCUCAGC